AAUGGCGGAACGUUAUCACAACGAUUGUAUAUUAUCAGUUAUCACUAUUCGUCGUAUUUAAAUUUUAAGUCUUCAUCCAGUUGUUAUUAACUAGUGGGUACUGGACUACCGACUAACUUCUUUCUGCUUUGUGUGUUUCAAUGUCUCCCGGUCUAAAAAUAAUAUUUCAAUUUAAUGAGCAGUGGAAGUCUAUUUCGUGGUUGUUCGAUUUCAUAAAUGACGCACUAGUAAGUACUACUUACGUUAUGAUUUUCCGAAUUCAAUAUUAAAACCUUUGUGUCAAUCGCCUACUAAAGAAACACAUUGGUGUCAUUGUCUAGAUUCAAUAUCAAAAUCUAUCACAAUCACUAGUUGCUAUUCAAAUACCCUGGAUUUCACCAGUCAAGGCAAGUUAAUAAUACUUAAUUUAUA
rnacentral:lncRNA from 1 species